UACAGGCCUAGUGACACCAGAUCACAGGUUAGAGGACUACAGUACAGGCCUGGUGGCACCAGAUCACAGGUUAGAGGACUACAGUACAGGCCUAGUGACACAAGAUCACAGGUUAGAGGACUACAGUACAGGCCUAGUGGCACCAGAUCACAGGUUAGAGGACUACAGUACAGGCCUGGUGGCACAAGAUCACAGGUUAGAGGACUACAGUACAGGCCUAGUGGCACAAGAUCACAGGUUAGAGGACUACAGUACAGGCCUGGUGGCACAAGAUCACAGGUUAGAGGACUACAGUACAGGCCUGGUGGCACAAGAUCACAGGUUAGAGGACUACAGUACAGGCCUGGUGGCACAAGAUCACAGGUUAGAGGA